ensembl:ncRNA lncRNA:CR15061 long non-coding RNA:CR15061
CAUAAGUCUGCCGCUCGCUCGUUUGCUGUCAUGACAUGAGUGACUCUGCCCCGGCGAUGCUCGCUCUAUAAGGUCCGCGCGCCACAGAUCUCUCCUUUAAUGCCUCCUGGUUGCCCCACUUCCUUCUUGGUUCCACCGUUCCGGGGUGUGCGCCCAAGUUUGCCGCUGGCAAAGAACGGACAUCGAGUUGCUGCUGAAGAUGGAGAUGGAGAUGGCAAAGGCAAACGCAAAGGCUAAGGCGAUGGUGCUGAAGAUGAAGAUGAAGAUGGAGCUGCGGCUGGAGCGUCUGGAGCUGAUGCUAAAGAUGGUCAAGGGCUUGGGUCCGGGUUCGGUUUUGGCUGCAGUUUGGUCUCGGGUUUGGGGCUCUGGUGUUGGUUUGGCAAAUUUUUACAGCGCUUUUAUAAACAGCCCCGUUGUCCAGCGAUGCGGCGGCCACUGGGCGGUAAUUUGUUAAAGCUUCCUUACUUUUCAACACUCCCGGACUAAAAAAAAAAAAAAAAUAACCAAAAAACAAAAAGAAGAAAAAACAGAACAAGAGCGAGAGAGAGCGGCUUUAAUUGUGCCCCUUGAGUGGCUGACUGUUUCAGAUCCUUGCGACUACUUUGUCUUGAUGAUAAAUCUCCGGGGCUAUCCAUCUAAGCGCGCCAGUUCGAGGCAGUUCGUCAUGAUCGUUCAGCUGC